UGGUAUUCAUUGCAGGAACUGCUGACGUUCAGGGAUGUGGCCAUAGAAUUCUCUCAGGACGAGUGGGGAUUCCUGAACGUCGUUCAGUGGGAACUGUACAGGGAUGUGAUGUUAGAGAACUACGGACACCUCCUUUUCUUG
rnacentral:lncRNA from 1 species